AUGCCCUGGCAGUCAGAGGCGAUGAAGGACGUGCUAAUCUGCGAUAAGCGUCGGUAAGGUGAUAUGAACCGUUAUAACCGGCGAUUUCCGAAUGGGGAAACCCAGUGUGAUUCGUCACACUAUCAUUAACUGAAUCCAUAGGUUAAUGAGGCGAACCGGGGGAACUGAAACAUCUAAGUACCCCGAGGAAAAGAAAUCAACCGAGAUUCCCCCAGUAGCGGCGAGCGAACGGGGAGGAGCCCAGAGCCUGAAUCAGUGUGUGUGUUAGUGGAAGCGUCUGGAAAGGCGCGCGAUACAGGGUGACAGCCCCGUACACAAAAAUGCACAUGCUGUGAGCUCGAUGAGUAGGGCGGGACACGUGGUAUCCUGUCUGAAUAUGGGGGGACCAUCCUCCAAGGCUAAAUACUCCUGACUGACCGAUAGUGAACCAGUACCGUGAGGGAAAGGCGAAAAGAACCCCGGCGAGGGGAGUGAAAAAGAACCUGAAACCGUGUACGUACAAGCAGUGGGAGCCUCUUUAUGGGGUGACUGCGUACCUUUUGUAUAAUGGGUCAGCGACUUAUAUUCUGUAGCAAGGUUAACCGAAUAGGGGAGCCGAAGGGAAACCGAGUCUUAACUGGGCGUUAAGUUGCAGGGUAUAGACCCGAAACCCGGUGAUCUAGCCAUGGGCAGGUUGAAGGUUGGGUAACACUAACUGGAGGACCGAACCGACUAAUGUUGAAAAAUUAGCGGAUGACUUGUGGCUGGGGGUGAAAGGCCAAUCAAACCGGGAGAUAGCUGGUUCUCCCCGAAAGCUAUUUAGGUAGCGCCUCGUGAAUUCAUCUCCGGGGGUAGAGCACUGUUUCGGCAAGGGGGUCAUCCCGACUUACCAACCCGAUGCAAACUGCGAAUACCGGAGAAUGUUAUCACGGGAGACACACGGCGGGUGCUAACGUCCGUCGUGAAGAGGGAAACAACCCAGACCGCCAGCUAAGGUCCCAAAGUCAUGGUUAAGUGGGAAACGAUGUGGGAAGGCCCAGACAGCCAGGAUGUUGGCUUAGAAGCAGCCAUCAUUUAAAGAAAGCGUAAUAGCUCACUGGUCGAGUCGGCCUGCGCGGAAGAUGUAACGGGGCUAAACCAUGCACCGAAGCUGCGGCAGCGACACUAUGUGUUGUUGGGUAGGGGAGCGUUCUGUAAGCCUGUGAAGGUGUGCUGUGAGGCAUGCUGGAGGUAUCAGAAGUGCGAAUGCUGACAUAAGUAACGAUAAAGCGGGUGAAAAGCCCGCUCGCCGGAAGACCAAGGGUUCCUGUCCAACGUUAAUCGGGGCAGGGUGAGUCGACCCCUAAGGCGAGGCCGAAAGGCGUAGUCGAUGGGAAACAGGUUAAUAUUCCUGUACUUGGUGUUACUGCGAAGGGGGGACGGAGAAGGCUAUGUUGGCCGGGCGACGGUUGUCCCGGUUUAAGCGUGUAGGCUGGUUUUCCAGGCAAAUCCGGAAAAUCAAGGCUGAGGCGUGAUGACGAGGCACUACGGUGCUGAAGCAACAAAUGCCCUGCUUCCAGGAAAAGCCUCUAAGCAUCAGGUAACAUCAAAUCGUACCCCAAACCGACACAGGUGGUCAGGUAGAGAAUACCAAGGCGCUUGAGAGAACUCGGGUGAAGGAACUAGGCAAAAUGGUGCCGUAACUUCGGGAGAAGGCACGCUGAUAUGUAGGUGAAGUCCCUCGCGGAUGGAGCUGAAAUCAGUCGAAGAUACCAGCUGGCUGCAACUGUUUAUUAAAAACACAGCACUGUGCAAACACGAAAGUGGACGUAUACGGUGUGACGCCUGCCCGGUGCCGGAAGGUUAAUUGAUGGGGUCAGCGCAAGCGAAGCUCUUGAUCGAAGCCCCGGUAAACGGCGGCCGUAACUAUAACGGUCCUAAGGUAGCGAAAUUCCUUGUCGGGUAAGUUCCGACCUGCACGAAUGGCGUAAUGAUGGCCAGGCUGUCUCCACCCGAGACUCAGUGAAAUUGAACUCGCUGUGAAGAUGCAGUGUACCCGCGGCAAGACGGAAAGACCCCGUGAACCUUUACUAUAGCUUGACACUGAACAUUGAGCCUUGAUG
rnacentral:rRNA from 1 species